GUUCUUUUUGUAAUAUUUCAAGAUUUAUUGCUGGUGCGUUUUCAAUGAUGUUCAGUAUAUUUACUUGAACUGGGUUGAUGUUUCUCCUGAUGGAAGUUACCAAUUAUGGUUACCAAUUACAUAGAAAUGUUUGGACCGAGACGCCGAGACGUUAAAACCGCAACACGAACAUAUUGUUUCUUUACUUAUAAGAAGCAGAAUAUCCACACUUGUGCACUAUGAACAUAUCGUUUAUUGCUUCAACUCCAUAAAUAUUUUGUGAGGUAUUUAAAGCGCACAUACAGCCGACUUUGUUUUUGGCUCUCGGGUUUUAAACGUUUCGUUUGUACAGAAAAAUCCAGUUAUUAGCAUGUAAAUGUAAGAAGUGUACGAAUGAGGGGUGAAAGUCUAUGAAAUUGAGUCAGGGGUGAUGGUGUGUGUAGGUGUGUGAAGAUGUACGGGUGAGUGGUGGUGUUGUGAAAGGUUUAAGAAGAUGUAGGAAUGAGAGGUGAUGUGUGAAAAGGUGUAUGAAGGUGUACGAAUGAGGGGUGGGAGAGUAUGAAGAUGUACGAAUAAGGAGUGAGAGAGUAUGAAGGUGUAAGAAUGACGGGUGGGAUAGUAUGAAGGUGUACGAAUGAGGGGUGGGAGAGUAUGAAUUUGUACGAAUGAGGGAUGGGACAGUAUGAAGGUGUACGAAUGAGGGGUGAGAGAGUAUGAAGGUGUACGAAUCAGGGGUGAUAGAGUAUGAAGGUGUACGCAUGAGGGUGUGAGAGAGUAUGAAAGUGUACGAAUGAGGGGUGAGAGAGUAUGAAGUGUACAUGUGUACGUAAUAGGAGUGAGAGAGUAUGAAGGUGUACGAAUGAGGGGUGAGAGGGUAUGAAGGUGUACGAAUGAGGAGUGAAAGAGUAUGAAGGUGUCGGGAUGAGGAGUGAGAGAGUAUGAAGGUGUACGAAUGAGGGGUGAGAGAGUAUGAAGGUGUACGAAUGAGGGUUGAGAGAGUAUGAAGGUGUACGCAUCAGGGUGUGAGAGAGUAUGAAGGUGUACGAAUGAGGGGUGAGAGAGUAUGAAGUGUACGUAUGAAGAGUGAGAGAGUAUGAAGGUGUACGAAUGAGGGGUGAGAGGGUAUGAAGGUGUACGAAUGAGGAGAGAAAGAGUAUGAAGGUGUAAAAAUGAGGGGUGAGAGAGUAUGAAGGUGUACGAAUGAGGGGUGAGAGAGUAUGAAGGUGUACGAAUGAGGGGUGAGAGAGUAUGAAGGUGUACGAAUGAGGGGUGAGAGAGUAUGAAGGUGUACGAAUGAGGGUAGAGAGUAUGAAGGUGUUCGAAUGAGGGGUGAGAGAGUAUGAAGGUGUACGAAUGAGGGGUGAGAGGGUAUGAAGGUGUACGAAUGAGGUGUGAGAGAGUAUGAAGGUGUACGAAUGAGGGAUGGGACAGUAUGAAGGUGUACGAAUGAGGGGUGAGAGAGUAUGAAGGUGUACGAAUGAGGAGUGAAAGAGUAUGAACGUGUAAAAAUGAGGGGUGAGAGAGUAUGAAGGUGUACGAAUGAGGGGUGAAAGGGUAUGAAGGUGUACGAAUGAGGGGUGAGAGAGUAUGAAGGUGUACGAAUGAGGAGUGAAAGAGUAUGAAGGUGUAAAAAUGAUGGGUGAGAGAGUAUGAAGGUGUACGAAUGAGGGGUGAGAGAGUAUGAAGGUGUACGAAUGAGGUGUGAGAGAGUAUGAAGUGUACGUAUGAGGAUAGAGAGAGUAUGAAGGUGUAAGAAUGAGGUGUGAGAGAGUAUGAAGGUGUACAAAUGAGGGUGUGAGAGAGUAUGAAGGUGUACGAAUGAGGGGUGAAAGAGUAUGAAGGUGUCGGGAUGAGGAGUGAGAGAGUAUGAAGGUGUACGAAUAAGGGGUGGGAGAGUAUGAAGGUGUACGAAUGAGGAGUGAGAGAGUAUGAAGGUGUACGAAUGAGGGUUGAGAGAGUAUGAACGUGUUAUGUGAAAGAAUGUAUGAAGGUGUACGACAGCCCGGGCGGGGGUAAUGGCGUGUGUAUGUGUAUGAAGGUGUACGAAUGAGGAGUGAAAGAGUAUGAACGUGUAAAAAUGAGGGGUGAGAGUGUAUUAAGGUGUACGAAUGAGGGGUGAGAGGGUAUGAAGGUGUACGAAUGAGGGGUGAGAGAGUAUGAAGGUGUACGAAUGAGGAGUGAAAGAGUAUGAAGGUGUAAAAAUGAUGGGUGAGAGAGUAUGAAGGUGUACGAAUGAGGGGUGAGAGAGUAUGAAGGUGUACGAAUGAGGUGUGAGAGAGUAUGAAGUGUACGUAUGAGGAUAGAGAGAGUAUGAAGGUGUAAGAAUGAGGUGUGAGAGAGUAUGAAGGUGUACAAAUGAGGGUGUGAGAGAGUAUGAAGGUGUACGAAUGAGGGGUGAAAGAGUAUGAAGGUGUACGAAUGAGGAGUGAGAGAGUAUGAAGGUGUACGAAUGAGGAGUGAGAGAGUAUGAACGUGUUAUGUGAAAGAAUGUAUGAAGAUGUACGACAGCCCGGGAGGGGUAAUGGCGUGUGUAUGUGUAUGAAGCUGUACGAAUGAGGGAUGUGUGAAAAAGUGUAUGAGAGUGUACUAGGGUGGUGUGUAUGAAGGUAAGUGACACACACCAGAAUGCCCAUAUCAAAGACAAACAUCGGGCAGAAUACAAAUGUAGACUUAUGAAAAUCUGCCAUUAACAACUUGGCUCUUCAUUGUCUGCAUUGUCUAGAUGAAGUCCAUGUAUCAAGUGAACAGAGUGUGAUAGUUGUUCCCAGUUUGACUGGGAUCAGCUCACCCAAACACGCCUACACCUGAAUAAAUGGGACAUGCCACUUGAUUGCCCGAAUUUCACUCACUGUGCAGCUGUUGGCAGAGUAUCUAACACAACAUUCAGCCGAAAUAUUGUCGUCGAAUGAAGGCGUUCACAGCAAUUCAGAGUUUGUCUUGACAUUUUUCGGAAGUAAAUACAUGUUUAUUAUUCAUAUUCAUUAUUCAUAUUCAUGCUUUAAAUUGUGUAGUUAUUCCUUUAGUACAUGAAUAAAAGCACAUACUUACC